GAAGCUUUGUUUCCCCAUCACUACUUUUCAGCAUGUUUUCUGUGAAUUAGACUACUGGAGUUUUGUAACUUUUUACACCUUGGCUUACUGUUAGAUGGGUUGGUCUCCGGUAGUAAUUGGUCUCCGGUAGUUGGUCUCUGCUGACCAUAACCGUGCUGGUUGGUUAUGCUGGUUAGCCUAAUAGCUAGUUGGCUAAAUAGCAAACGUUAGCUGGCUGUCUAAGAUAACUGCAUAUAGCUAACAUUCUUUGAUUGGUUAGAUGGCAUUGUGUAUUUCCAAAACGUUGGUUUACUUUAAUCACUCAAGUCAUGAGUGCAAAUGAUUGGUUUAAUUUAAAGUUAUACAUUUUAGACAGCAGCUCUACACUUUAUUGAGUGACUGAUCCUUCCAUCCCUCCUCAGCCUUCCUCUCCUCUGAAGACCCAGUGAGGGUGGAGCUCAGUCAGAGAGCUGUUGAGGGACUGGUUAGGAAGAACACUUCUACAGCCAGAGAGGGGCAGUCAAGAAAUGGAACGGCAAGGCCACAGAACAUGACAUAAGCAGAGCUGUGGGAGACCACCUCAAGCCCCUGGUAGAGCCGGGGGUGGUGUUCACCACUCCACCACACCUUCAGCAGGCUGGAAAAGUGGGAUUGAUCUGUUUGAUCCAUUUGUCUGUUUCAGUUUUCAGUAGUUUGAUCCUUUGAUGUAUUGUUCAUUUAAACAUUUUUCAUUUUCAACAAAUGCACUGGGUUGGUUGAAAAGUGAUACUAAACUUACAUACCAUGCACUGAAUUGAUACUGUUUUUCAUACUAAGAUGGACCAUGCGCUAUAAUGACAAGGUAGAAGAUAGCAUGAAAGACAAUAUAAAUUCAGUCUAAGAUGGACCAAAAUAUGCCUUUGCACAUAUUUGUUCAUUGGUUUAGCAAGAGUCUGUUGAUUGGUUGGUCACUGGGUUAAUUUGUUUUGAAAUAUGAUCAGAUCAAGCUUUAUUUAUACAGCACAUUUCAGACAUGGAUGCAACACAAUGGCGUCACAGGAAAAAAAACUGAAAUAUUUAGUACACAACAAACAGAAACUUAACUGAAAGACUGAGCAUUUUAAGGAAAUGUCAUUGAUUCAAAUAUUAACAAUUGGAUGCAACAUCCAAUACAAAUUAUAAACUUGUUUUACUCCAUUGUUUGUUCUUAUGUUCUCCAUCAAGAAACCCCCAAAAAACUAAAUGUUACAUGAAUUGGAAAAAAUAUCAAAAGCAAAUGUGAUUGUUGAGGCAUGGAAUAAUAAAACAUAUCUUUGUCAGGCUGAA